rnacentral:rRNA from 1 species
UGCCUCAGUAACGGCGAGUGAAGCGGCAAGAGCUCAAAUUUGAAAGCUGGCUCCUUCGGAGUCCGCAUUGUAAUUUGCAGAGGAUGCUUUGGGUGCGGCCCCCGUCUAAGUGCCCUGGAACGGGCCGUCAGAGAGGGUGAGAAUCCCGUCUUGGGCGGGGUGUCCGUGCCCGUGUAAAGCUCCUUCGACGAGUCGAGUUGUUUGGGAAUGCAGCUCUAAAUGGGUGGUAAAUUUCAUCUAAAGCUAAAUACUGGCCGGAGACCGAUAGCGCACAAGUAGAGUGAUCGAAAGAUGAAAAGCACUUUGAAAAGAGAGUUAAACAGCACGUGAAAUUGUUGAAAGGGAAGCGCUUGCGACCAGACUCGCCCGCGGGGUUCAGCCGGCAUUCGUGCCGGUGUACUUCCCCGUGGGCGGGCCAGCGUCGGUUUGGGCGGCCGGUCAAAGGCCCCUGGAAUGUAGUACCCUCCGGGGUACCUUAUAGCCAGGGGUGCAAUGCGGCCAGCCUGGACCGAGGAACGCGCUUCGGCACGGACGCUGGCAUAAUGGUCGUAAACGAC